rnacentral:rRNA from 1 species
UACGGGGGGAGCAAGCGUUGUUCGGAUUUACUUGGGCGUAAAGCGCACGUAGGCGGAUUGGUCAGUUAGGGGUGAAAUCCUGGAGCUCAACUCCAGAACUGCCUUUAAUACUGCCAGUCUCGAGUCCGGAAGAGGUAAGUGGAACUCCUAGUGUAGAGGUGGAAUUCGUAGAUAUUAGGAAGAACACCAGUGGCGAAGGCGGCUUACUGGUCCGGUACUGACGCUGAGGUGCGAAAGCGUGGGGA